rnacentral:rRNA from 1 species
GAUGAACGCUGGCGGCGUGCCUAAUACAUGCAAGUCGAGCGAACAGACGAGGAGCUUGCUCCUCUGACGUUAGCGGCGGACGGGUGAGUAACACGUGGAUAACCUACCUAUAAGACUGGGAUAACUUCGGGAAACCGGAGCUAAUACCGGAUAAUAUUUUGAACCGCAUGGUUCAAUAGUGAAAGACGGUUUUGCUGUCACUUAUAGAUGGAUCCGCGCCGCAUUAGCUAGUUGGUAAGGUAACGGCUUACCAAGGCAACGAUGCGUAGCCGACCGGAGAGGGUGAUCGGCCACACUGGAACUGAGACAAGAUCCAGACUCCUACGGGAGGCAGCAGUAGGGAAUCUUCCGCAAUGGGCGAAAGCCUGACGGAGCAACGCCGCGUGAGUGAUGAAGGUCUUCGGAUCGUAAAACUCUGUUAUUAGGGAAGAACAAAUGUGUAAGUAACUAUGCACGUCUUGACGGUACCUAAUCAGAAAGCCACGGCUAACUACGUG